AAAAAUUUUAAUAAAAUAAAACAAGGAAACUGAGGCCCGGGGAAGUCACUUCCCUGGCCCAAGGGCCUGCAGCCAGUAGGUGGGCUGGUGGGAUGUUACCCCGGGGCCGGUCUGCCUCCAGAUGUUAAGCUUUUAGCCCCUUGACCGCAUGAACUCCUGAAAACCCCGCUUUGGGGGGCUAGCGAACCACUGUGGAUCUCCGCUCGCACAGAGCAAAGGUUCCAACGGCCACGGAUGAUCAAAAGCCAAAGAUUCUCCUCGAGUGGUAACAAACUUACUUCCCAGCUGAGCUUUGAGCCCAGGCUGCAGCCCCCACUCGACCUGGGCCAGGUGGCCCCUUCCGCAGCUACAAUGACCCAGGUCCCGGGGAAAGACGCCCACCCACAGGGGUCACCAAUGCCACCCAAGAGCCCGGCAGAUUCCCUCAGCUGCAGCUCCCAGGGCCCCCCGCUGAUUCACCCCACCAUCGAGGCGUUGUUGGUUAAAGUGAAGAUUCUAGCCUCAUGACUCUCAUGAUUUGAAAGUAGUGAUGACUAAACGCAGUAUUUUUUUGACGUGGCUCCGACAGGCGAAAUGCGAUAUAAACCAUCUGCGAUCUCCCCUGAUGCCACGGUCUUAACCCGCUACACUCACGUCUGUGCUAUGUCGCCCGUAGCGGACAGAAACGCCACACUGCAGUUAGCGGUAAAUGAGAGUAAAGACGUGUUUUCCGAUCCAAGUUCAAGGGGUCAGUGGACCCGGUCUCCAGAGUCUCCAGGUCGACCAAACCUCAACGAAUCGCCCCACUUCUGCCCCAUCCUUCUUCCUCCAGGCGAAACCUCGAUUCCAUAUCCCAGCCUGAAAGUUGAAACCUGGGGGCCCUACAAGGUUUCUCCCUGGCCACGCCCGGGAUCAUCACAGACGCGUCUCUGUCCAAGGCUGCGGUUGCUAGUCCCCUCCUCCCUGAAGCCUCCCGUCCCCGCGGGCUGCAUCAGGUGCCUCCUCUGUCCCUCCCCAGGCUCCACCCCCCCGCCACGUGUCACUUCCAAGAUGAGAGCCGGUCACGAUGGAGGAAAGCUGUCCGGUGUCUCUCUUCCCCGCACCGCGCCCAGCACGGAGGACGCGUGCUGUCCACGGAGGGAGGAGGGGUGCGCGCCCUCAGCAGCCUUCAGACUCAGCUUCUAGAUGAAUGGCAGGUGGCCGGCCAGGUGCCAGCAGGUUGGCCAGAGCCCAGGCGGGGCAGCCGUGGGUCAGAAUCAGAUUGUCACGCCAGAGAGGACGACAGCCGGUGGCGGCCACUUCCUCGUCUGCAGCUGGGCCGCCCCGCCUCCCCGACCAGGUGGAGACCUCCAGAUAUCCUGGUAACCACCGAGGACACUGGGCAAGCCAGGAAAACUAAUCCCGCUGAGGAGACCCAAGCCAGCCCUCUCCAUGCUUGUCUUCCUCUGUGGGACCCUUGCCUCUACCAAGUUCAGCCGUCAUCCGUUGUUCGCCCCCCAAGUACGUGAUGAAGUUCACAGCAUCAAGUACCCGCCAGCACUGUUGGUUGCCCACCCGGCAGUCACUUCCCCCUUCUUCCUUGCUCCCCAAACCAUCCCACCCAGUCCCAGGGGAUGCGUCUUGAUUGGUCUAAGCCAGUGCCCUCUUGCCAGUGAUUGGUCUAGAGGUGGGCAUGUGACCCAGGCUUGGCCAAUUAAACAGCAAGGGAAGUCUGCUAAGGGACUCUGGGAAGACUGUCUUCCUCUUAUUAAGAGAGAGACGGGCCGGGAAAAGAGUUUUUUAAUCUUCUUUCUCCCCUCCUGCUCUGGACACUGUUGUCUGAGGUUGUGAUUUCUGGAGCUAUGAUGCCCAGAUGUUUGGAUCCCCCAGUCUAGAUGUGGCUGUGAAGGUGUUUUUAGAUGUGAUUAGCAUUGACAUAAGUAGACUGAUUAAGCAGAUUGCCCUCCAUAAUGAGGGUGGGCCUGAUCCAAUCAGCUGAAGGUGGGGGGGGGAGAGAGGGGGGGGGAAGGCAAAUAUGGUACAAAUGUUAACAUUUGAAGAACCUGGGUGAAGGGUAUACAAGAAUGUAUUACAUCCUUCACAAUUUCUCUGUAUGCCCCAAAUGAAUUUAAAAUAAAAAGUUAACCCCCCCCCCAAAAAGGGGGGGGGCGGGGUAGGCAGACAGGUUCAAAUUUGGUUGCUCUCAUGUAAUGCCUGGGCUUUCCUUGGGAACCCAGGACCAGAGUACCAGCUCCUAGAAGCCCAGAAGCCACCUCGAGUCAGUUACAGUCCCUCUCGUACUCAACAUCGGAGCCUCCCUCGUGUUUCCUUCGGGAAAAUCUGGAUUUUCGUAGGAAUGUCUGUGAGGAGCAGAGGGCGGGGCCCACACAGGGAUGAUGCUCUGUGACCGCCAGCUGUCCUCGUGACCCUGGGCUGGAGAGUCACACGGACCCAAGUUCGAACCGUCGACGUGCCUAGCAUUUGCUGGCUGAUAGCACUCCGUCACUUGUCCCUUCCAGCCGCGGUGUCCUCAUCCGUAAACGUGGACAAGCACUAACGCUUUCACCAGCAGGGUCCGGUGAGGAUUGGAUGGUGACAAGGAUGACAUAGGCACUUAGCCUGGUGCUGGCCACACAAUAAGCCCUCACUGAAGGGUCUGGAGAAACAACUCCCUGGAACGCCCACCAGGAUGGCUACUA